UAAAAGAUCGACUCACGGUGUGCUUCGGUCGGAAAUCGAACGGAACUGGCUUCUCCCGUUCGUCGCCGUUUGUGGAUUCGAGAGACAGAGAGAUAGAUCGCAAACCCUAGGAAAUGGGGAAAAGAAAAACCCGUGUUUCCUUUCAUUUUUUCGACCAAUACACACUUGCCACGUCGACCAGCACUUCCCUUAAGCACAGCUCUUCGACAAGCCCUCCCAAACUGCUCUUAGCCCACUUUUAGAUUAAAUCCAAAUAUAUUAAGCCCAAGCACACCCCAUGUGCUCCCCCUUUGAAGAUGGCCUUAGUUAUUGUCUUUUGGAAACACCUAGAACUAGAAACAUCUGAACUCUUAUUACAUCACCUUUAUGCUAUAUCUUUACAAUUACCAUACAAACUUCCUGAGCUCCUUUUCCCGCUUAAUAUCUCGAGUGUUGAAGUCUACCUAAAUCUUAGCUUAAACAAAUAUCUGCAACAAAAGGAUAAAACUAUGUUUUGUUCAGUAUCUAUAUUAUUUGAUAGCAUUAAUAAUUUUGAAAUUCAUUACGUGUGUUACCGUUCUGACUAUUGAUAUGCAUAAUUGGCAGGACCUCGUGUCUUUCAAGUUUGGUAUAUGCUUAUUGUCAAAUAGAGAGCCCAACAACUCAUAAUGGGUAUACUAGACCUAAAAUAUUUUUUAUUGAUAACAUCAAAACCUCAGCUUCCACACAGUAAUUCUCAAAUCUUUAAUUAAGUACUACACCAAAGUCCUCAAAAAGGCCCAAUCUAAACAACA
rnacentral:lncRNA from 1 species